UGACAGUGACAAAAAGGAAGCAGCCUUCUCUAGCCCACCCAAGUUUCCAUCAAAGGAGCAAGCCUAUGUCAGUAAGAAGAAAGCUGGCUAACCCUCCCACCCCUUGUUUAACUCCUCCAGCCCAUCCCACAUCAUUGUAGAGUGAAGAGACUGCGGUUAAUAUUCAGAAAGAGGCGCAGAGAACUGAAGGCUUUCCUGACUUGACACCGAAUAAUAACGAAGGCCUGUGUGCUUUGCAGCAGCCUCCACGUCACCCUCUUCCAGGGCUCCGUCAGAGGACUAACGAUAUGCCACAAGAUGAUUGGCAGCAAGACACACCCAGUGAUGAAGGGAUGUGCUCUCCUUAAAUCACAGCCUAUUCAUCAGGUACUCCUGAGUGCUGUGUUAAGAAAUCCUGCCUACAAAGUUCCGCUGAGGCUGAUAUAAAGAUGACUGUGAGAAACUGGCUGCGGCUGUCUGAGCAGAGACAGGAAUGGGGGCGGCAAAGGCGGGACAAGCAAGCAUCUUAAGUGAAAUAAUUGAUUGGACUGAUUCUGGAGUAUGACUUAUCUUAUUUUUGUUGCAGUUUGCUAUGGGACGGUUUCAAGGACAGGGAUUAGACUAGUUCUAGACUAAAAUAAAUGUAAGAGCUGUCCAAACUGAAAACAACUUGCACUGACAUAUCAUAAAAUACAUCAGUGUCUUUUGUGAUGCUUCAAAAUGCACACAAGUAAUGUUUUUAUUAAGACAUGUUAUUAAAACUAGUUAUAUUUCAGAAUUAAACUAAGGCCUAGUCCCGGUUUAAGAUAAUCCCUGUCCGGGAAACCACCCCAAAGUGUAAUUUGUGGAGUGUUAAAAUAAAUGAAACUGCCUUUGCAAAAACAAAGUAAAAAAAAAUUUCCAGAUGCC